rnacentral:rRNA from 1 species
UACCUGCGGAGGGAUCAUUACCGAGUUUACAACUCCCAAACCCCUGUGAACAUACCACUUGUUGCCUCGGCGGAUCAGCCCGCUCCCGGUAAAACGGGACGGCCCGCCAGAGGACCCCUAAACUCUGUUUCUAUAUGUAACUUCUGAGUAAAACCAUAAAUAAAUCAAAACUUUCAACAACGGAUCUCUUGGUUCUGGCAUCGAUGAAGAACGCAGCAAAAUGCGAUAAGUAAUGUGAAUUGCAGAAUUCAGUGAAUCAUCGAAUCUUUGAACGCACAUUGCGCCCGCCAGUAUUCUGGCGGGCAUGCCUGUUCGAGCGUCAUUUCAACCCUCAAGCACAGCUUGGUGUUGGGACUCGCGUUAAUUCGCGUUCCUCAAAUUGAUUGGCGGUCACGUCGAGCUUCCAUAGCGUAGUAGUAAAACCCUCGUUACUGGUAAUCGUCGCGGCCACGCCGUUAAACCCCAACUUCUGAAUGUUGACCUCGGAUCAGGUAGGAAUACCCGCUGAACUUAAGCAUAUCAAUAAGCGGAGGAA